GGAAAAUAUGUAAACAGGAAGUAUGCAUACACAUGGCCCUGCGCGUUGUGGAUUAUCAUGCCUGCCUUCCUGUCAUUAAUUAGCCAUGGAUAUCAGGCGAUUUUUGAAGAGACCUUCGAGUGCUCCCACUCCAACAGAUGCCCGAAAAAGGCCUCAAGUACAAACUGCAUUGUUAGAGCGGAGCUGGGGAUGCUAGCUCGCUCUUACCCCAAGAACUACCUGUCUGUACUGUGUACUUGUACCCACCUGAACCUGAACCUGUACCUGUACCUGGGGGACCUGAAGGCCUUUUGCCAAUGUUGACAAAACCCCUGAAAAAACUGCAUGUCUGCAUGAAAACGGUGUUGAAACCGAUUGGCAGUCCUCCCCCUCUCCCCUCCUCGGCUCCCCGGCUCUCAGGUUGGUUGAUGACAGACCCCGCCGAUGCCUCUUCGUCAAUCAAUCGUCUUCAUUGAUCCAUUAAUUGCAAACCUCGGCAAAGACAUUUAUAGUCAACAGUCAACUUUAAAACCUCAAAUAUCUGAAUGUUUGUAUAAAAUGAUGCUUGUUAUGAUGCUUAUUAAAAUUACUUGUAUACAGUAUGUGGGCCUUCAUGUGUGCGGAAAGAGUAAGAGAAAUGUG
ensembl:lncRNA